rnacentral:tRNA from 1 species
GGGAAUGUGGCUCAACUGGUAGAGAACUUGCCUCGAAAGCAGAAAACUCUGGGUUUGAGCCCCAGCACUGCAU